rnacentral:rRNA from 1 species
AUUGAACGCUGGCGGCAUGCUUUACACAUGCAAGUCGGACGGCAGCACAGAGAAGCUUGCUUCUUGGGUGGCGAGUGGCGAACGGGUGAGUAAUAUAUCGGAACGUACCGAGUUAUGGGGGAUAACUAAUCGAAAGAUUAGCUAAUACCGCAUAUUCUCUGAGGAGGAAAGCAGGGGACCUUUGGGCCUUGCGUUAUUCGAGCGGCCGAUAUCUGAUUAGCUAGUUGGUGGGGUAAAGGCCUACCAAGGCGACGAUCAGUAGCGGGUCUGAGAGGAUGAUCCGCCACACUGGAACUGAGACACGGCCCAGACUCCUACGGGAGGCAGCAGUGGGGAAUAUUGGACAAUGGGCGCAAGCCUGAUCCAGCCAUGCCGCGUGUGUGAAGAAGGCCUUCGGGUUGUAAAGGACUUUUGUCAGGGAAGAAAAGGAUGUUGCUAAUAUCAAGAGGUGAUGACGGUACCUAAAGAAUAAGCACCGGCUAACUACGUG